rnacentral:rRNA from 1 species
UACGUAGGGUGCGAGCGUUGCCCGGAUUUAUUGGGCGUAAAGGGCGCGUAGGCGGCCACGCACGUCCGUUGUGAAAUCGCCCGGCUCAACUGGGCGGGGUCAGCGGAUACGGUGUGGCUCGAGCAAGCUAGGGGGCAAUGGAAUUCCCGGUGUAGUGGUGGAAUGCGUAGAUAUCGGGAGGAACACCAGUGGCGAAAGCGGCUCACUGGACCACAACUGACGCUGAGGCGCGAAAGCUAGGGGAGCAAACAGG